UUUCAUUUUCAUUUUUAUUUUUGUAUGUUCAAUUUUUGUAUUAUUUUAUUUUAUUUUUGUACUUUUAUUGUUUUUUGUUUUGUUUCUUUGUUGUUAUUUUGCCAUUCUGUUUUUUUUUUUCUUAACCCAUCAAUUAAGUACGUAUUACACCAAAAUUCGCUCAAACCUGUUUUGUGAUUGUGACGCUAAAAGAAAUAUUUCUCUUUCUGCCCAAAAUAUAAGAUGUCAUAAACAUAAACAAUCCAAACAAAAAUUAAAAAAAGUAAAAUAUUAAAAACAAAGGGAAGUGAAUAAUUUAGGAAAAUCUGAAAGCUGGAUUGAAAAAAAAUUUAUUUUGCUAAAAAACUCUAAAGUUGAAUCAACAUAAUCAAAGUUCAAAUGUAUUUUCUUCUCCGCCAAAUGAUUCUAGAAGUUUCUUAAAUUAUUUCGUGAAGUAAUUAUUUAUUGAAAUAAUUGCGGAAAGACAAAGUUCGCUGAGUAUAGUUAUAUAAAAUUUUUUUAGAAAACAGAGGCAUAUUACAUAUAUUUAACAGUUUAUUGGAAGAAUUGGAUGUAACCAGACUGUGAGUAUGUGUAAAAACUAAUUAGAAGUUACAUACAUACAUAUAUUUCACAGGGUUGGGAUUUUUUUAAUUUAAAAACUAUUGGAUUAAAAAUUAAAUUUUCAUUUUUUAAUCCGAUUAGAUUUUAAAUUUUUAUUCCAGGCGUUUGGGAUUAUAAAUUGAAAUUUUAAAAUUUUAUUUUUUAAUAUGAAUGAAGCACGUAAACGCAAAAAAAUGUUAAUUUUAAAACCAUUUCUUUUUUUAUUCUUGAUUAUAUGUUUGGGAUAACAUUUUUUCGUUAAUCCGGUAGUUGGGUUAGUUUAAGACUGUUAAUCCGGUUUGGGGAAUUAAAAAAUGUUGUUUUUGGAUCCGGUAUGUGGUAUUAAAAUUUUAUUUUUGUUUUUUAAUCCCGUAUUUGGGAUUAGAAAUUAAAAUUAAAAAUUUAAUUCAAAUGUUUAAUUCAAUUAUUUCUAAUGCAUUAUUUGCAACCCUGUGUAUAUACUAGUUUAUCGUUAUACACUUAAUAUAUUUUAUUUUAUGAGAUUAUUUUAUGUGGGAAAGUACUACUUAGAAUUUUAAAUUGUUUUCUUACUAGUCAAGUAUGUUUUGCCGAUGAGUUCAAACAUGCAAAUUAGUAAUUAUUUAUAAUUUAAAUACCGAAGUAGAUACGAGUACUCGAUAGUGCAACUACCGUUAAAUUUAAUUGACACGCGGGAAAUUGAGCAUAACAGAGUUAACAACUAGCUUUGACUUUAGUUGUAAACAAAAAUGUAUGUGUGUCGAUACAUAAUUAUGUAACAUCAGCUACUAAUUGCACAUUGUUUACUAUAUACGUAUGUAUAUACAUGUAUAUGUAGGUGUAAGUCAUUUAACACCGCUUAAAAUCUGACAUUACUGUUUACACAGCUGUAAUGAAGUUAGAAUAAUUAUUGGGAAUUAUUGCAUCCGCAAUUAAAAGCUGUAUAAUCAGAAUAUCUGAGCUUAGAAAUUAAAACGUACAUGAUACAAUAAAAUGUCUACCGCACACAAUGUUUAAAAAUCGCAGUAACAAAAACAAAAUAAAAGGGUUCGUUUAUUACAACUCACUGUAUUGUUGUUUUAUUUCGUCGCUUGCGCGCCUUCGUCCACUCCGCUCAGAAGCACAAAUGUGAAUGAAUUCGUUGGAGUUCGCCGCCAAAAGUCAGUGCGCCAGACCACAACAGCCAGCAAAAACAUGCGGUUGCGUCGCGAUGAGCAUUGCCGCUGCCGUUGCUGCUUCUUUCUGUUUUUGCCUCUGUUAUUGUUUGUAGUUGUUCCGCACAGAAAAGAGUGGUCAUUUGCUGUGAGUUUGGGGUUGGCGGCAGCAAAAACACUUGCUAUAUAAACAGCAGCAACAGUUAUUCUGUUUUUGUUUGUUAUUAUUUAAAUCAGCUUUAUUUUUGUUGUCAACAGCGAACGCGUAUAUGCAAAACAAAAUAAAUACGCGAAAAUAAUAAUUCGCGGACACAAUGUCCGAAAAUGAAAUCGUAAAAAUAUACACACAAACCAACAACCUGCGAAAAUUUCCGUAAUUAUCGGCAAAUUUAAAGUAAUAUAUUUUUAUUUAGUUUGUUUUUGUUUUUUAUAUUCUUAUUUUACUUUCAAAGAAACCUAAUGAAACCUUUUCCUCUUUCAGUUAUUAAUUAUUUAUUUUUAACAAAGUUUAUGUUCAAACACAUUUAAACAAUCUAUAUCGUUUAGAGAUAUAUGUAUAUUUUCAGCUUAGUUUCUUGACAUGAAGGCGUGGCGGUUUUAUUAAUGAAAUACAAAACAAUCUUCGGCAGCAUUUUAAUAACUCUCACAGUUUAAUUUCUUACUGCAUAAAAGGGUAUAAAAAGAUUUGUAUCUAGUGUAGAUUUUGAUCAGUUACCAUAAUAAUCUAAACUAAUAUAUUCCAAACUUCCUAAAGAUAAUUUUUCAAAUAAAAACAUUUUUCAUACAAGGACUUCAUUUUGAUCGGACAGUUUGUAUGGCAGUUAUAGUGGUCCGAUAUCGGCGGUUUUGACAGAUGAGCAGCUUCUUGAGAGGAAAAGGACAUGUGCGUUCUACCUAUUUAAAUCGUACCGAACCCAAUUAGCGCUAAUAUUAAACAUGGCAUGGCUUUGAGCCAUGGAACCCUAGUAAAAGUCAGCGCUGGUGACGGAGGGCUUAAAUAAAGAACAAAACACAAAGGAGGUUAUCACAAAUGCUAGUACAAAUAUUUUCUAUUCCUUUUGCCUUGUUAUUGUUACGGCAACUACAUAUUGUAAAGGCCACAUACAUAUGUAUGCAUGUGAAAGUUAUCCUCUUUGAUGUAUGUAAAUAUACUAAUAUUAAAUUUGUAUUAUUCGCUUCGGGUGUUAACAACUGUUCUCACUAUAUUGUUAUUGAAUAUGCAUACCUGUGUACUUUAGACGAAUAAAAGCCAUUAAAAACCUC